GCGAGCCCAGCUGGGGUGGUAAAUAGAGUACAGUACAGAUUCUGUGUGAAGAAUACAGAGACAGACGUUCCAUUUCAAAGAAAAAAGAGCAACACGAAGGCCCUCUUUAAGGAGAGAGUAAACAUUCACUUUAGGUAAAAAAUAGUCUUUUACACGCCUGUGCACGGCACACCUCUUUUGCUGUUCACCUUGAGCCCAAGAGUUUGGAAAGGCUGCCCCCAUUUCAGAGAGGAAGAAACGCAGGCACACGUGAAUGACAGACUCCUCUGUGGUGGCCUAGACUCCAGCCAACACUUCCUAGGACAGCCUGCCAUUGUGCAAAGUCACCAUGUAACAAAUGCAGACAUCUCUGAGAUCACCAUGCAGUGAGGAAGUCUAAGCUGGUGGCAUGAAGAGGCCACAUGGAAAGGGCUAAAAAAGGGGCCAGCCUCAGUCAUCCCAGCUGAGCACCUGGCUGGGAAUAAAAGAGGACUCCGUGGAUGUCCAGCCCAGUAAGAUGACCUCAGCCCCAGCCACCAACUGACCAAGCACACAAGACAUCGUGAGGCUGCCUGCUGGAGCCUGGCCAGUGGGACUGUAGAGUAACUCAUUGUCGUGCAGGAACUCCUGGGAUGGUGUUGCCCAGUGACACAAUCCCAGUGUGGCCAUUUCUGAUCCCGAGAAAGCAGUCAGGAGUGGGUGGAUGCAGUUACAGUUCAUCAAGUCCUGCUAGUUCAAGUCAUGAGUCCUGAAUUCUCCAGGAGGAGCCACUAAAGAAAUGCAGAAGCAGGCAAUCCUUGCAAUAAGGCCAGCAAACUGCCAGUGUGAAGGAUGCCCAGGUAACCUGCCCAUGCCAGAACGGCCAGGAGAUGGUGGAACCAGAAUCUAAGCCCACGCCCAUCUGACCUCAAAGUCUGUGCUCCUGAGGUUCGCACCGAGUUGCCUCCUAAGACUUGCUGAAACUGGAUCACGUCCAUUUACCCAUCUCUGAGAGAAAUGCAAGCUUUAAAAAAGGAAAUAUUUACUAUGGAUAUUUUACAAUAGUUCCAAAACAUGAAAGUUUUAAAUAAGAUAUUCUUAACCAUCCUCACCACAUCUUCAGGUUCCCUUACAGCCACUGUGUUUUGACGAUUGCCCAUUAGAAAAAAAGACUAUGCUUUCUGUAGGUUUUAAAGGAAUGGUGGUGAAAUAAGGAGCAUUCCCUGAGCAGAUCUUGCCUGCGGGCACACCUCUGAGCAUUGGACCAGGCGAGAAGAGCCCAUGUGUUGGCUGCUUUGGGAUCCCAGCACUGCCAAUGGCAGGUGGGCUGUGGCCCAGGGAGAGAACCUAGCCUUUUGCAUUCUCUUGCCCCAUUUGAAAAUGGAGACGAUAGUGGCGCCCCGCUCAGUGUUAUUUUGAGGAUUUGAAUGUAUCUCAGAUGUAGUACCUGGAAAAAUAUAAGUGCUCAGUAAAUACGGUUGCCAGAUAAAAUGCAGGAAACCUAUUUAAAUUUAAGUUUUGGCUGGACAAUGAAUAGAAUAAUUUUUCUUAGUAUGAGUAUGUCCUUAUAUUUCAUCUGCUAAAUUUAGCAACCUCCUCAGUAAACGAUCACUACAAUUGCAGAAACGCCUUAUGACAGAUAUAGUAAAUCUGUAAAGAAAUAGGAACUUGCAUUUAUUUUUACUAAGCUCUGACUGGUUAAGAUAACUGGGCAAGAGAAGAUAUCUUCGACUAAACUUGCAGCACAUAGAGUAUAGAGAUUCAAAUUUGAAGUCCUAUAGGACUAGAAUGGCCAGAGGUGAACUGUAGCGAGCUUAUCUAAAGAGGACCAAUUUCAAAAGUUCCUCAGAGACUUAAAUGGGCCCACAGACCCCUCCUGUGUCUUUGCAUAAGCCAGCUCGUUAUAUCAGUUAUAAGUUGAUUUCCAGAGAAAUGUACCCUGGAGAUCCCUCUCCCACUUGAAAUAGGACUGGCCAAUCCAGAUGUCCCCCAGGUGAUGUUGGCUCAAAUGGAGCUCCAUAUAUUGGAGAAUCUAUUCAAGAAAACAAGCAAAAGUAUUUGUGACUGAGUUAGCUAAUGCCAGCUGGUAUCUUGAACAAACCCAGAUCUCUAACAUGCUAGUUUAUUUCGUAGUGUAAAAUGUGUGUUACUGAUGGGCAGACAGCUCUCAUUCAAGCAGUGACAGAUGUAAGCUCUUCCCAUUUUUGUGGCCCCAUUGUAUUCGGCGUGUGGCUUCCAAGUUGCCUGGGAUCAUCUCCACCCAGACUAAGGAAGAGGAAAGAGCUUGGACAACUGCACUUGGCUGGUUUUUAUGGAUCAGGCAAGGAAUUGGCUCCAACACAUUAGCUCACAUUCCAUUGGUUAGAACUGGGUUUCUCAACUAUUAGUACAGGGUGAGUGUAGGGUUUUGGCACCAUGGGCAUUUGAGCUGGCCAAAGGCUAAUCAGAGUUAGAACAAAGCCACAAAGCCUGUGAAUGGUGUUUAUUGUUGUGAGGAGCUGUCUUGUGCAUUGUGGAAUGUUCAGCAGGAUGCUCUCUGGCCUCAGAGACUCACUAGAUUCCCAUAGAACUCUCCUCUCUCCUCUAGUUGUGACAACCACAGUUGCCUCCUCUCCAGACAUUGCUAGAUGUCCCCGGGAGGCAAAAUUGUCCUGGUUGAGAACCACUGUGUUAGAACUCGGUCACAUGGCCAUACCUAACUGCAAGGGAGGGGGCUGGAAGAUCUAGACGAGUAGUAUGCCAGGAAGAAAAUAGAACUGAUUUAGAGGCUGCUGGCCAGUCACUUUCAGUGACCUUCAGCAUACUUAUUCCUCUGCAGCUGUCAGGACACUCAUGCCUGUUUCUGAGAUGUUUCCUGUGUGAGGGGACAUAGUGACUAUUGGAGGGGUGACAUGUUGGACUUGGGUAGGGUGAAGAGGAUUGGAAACCACCAUCAUGUUUGGCAGCAUUGAAUGUUUAUGACUAUUUGAAUAGUUGUGACAAGGGUACAGUGAAGGAGGAAGUAACCAUUUUUGAAUACCCUUUUACAAUUUGCAAAGCACUUUUAAAGGUAAGAGUGAGUUCCUAGACCAUAUUAGGGUGAGAAUGGACAUUGUUGGCUGCCAUAUCAUUGGGCAGGGGCUUUGAGAUUUUUGUCUUCAGAAGGCAGAUUAGAUUUGGAGUAGAAGGAGAAAUGUAAAGACCUGGUAUCUGAGUGUGUUUGCAGAGGGGAAUUGUCGUUUGGAAGCACAAGAAAGGGAAUGGCCCGUUGGCACAUAUGGUACAUUGUGUUUUCAUAUAAUUAUACCUGAAUGAAAGCAAGAGGAAACGUGUAGGAAGCUGUUUACAUAGUCCUUUUAAUAAUGUUUACAUGAGUUAAUGAACAUGCAAACGUAUCUGAUGAAAACAUGUCAGUAGUGAAACAGCCUUGUGAAGAAUCAGAUCUUACCUCAGGCUGGAAAAAAGGACUGGUUUUCCAAGCUCACAAAUUGCAGCCAGUGUGAAUAGUAGCACAAAUGACUGAGCUUUAAGACAUCCAUCCAUCCAUCUAUCCAUCCCCUCAUCCAUCCAUCCCCUCAUCCAUCCACCCAUCCAUCCAUCCCUUCAUCCAUCACUCCAUCCAGCCAUCCGUCCCUUCAUCAAUCCAUCCAUCCCUUCAUCCAUCCAUCCAUCCUUCCUUCCAUUCAUCCCUUCAUCCAUCCGUCCAUCCAUCCAUCCAUCCACUCAUUCAUCCCUUCAUCCAUCCAUCCAUCCAUCCUUCCUUCCUUCCAUUCAUCCCUUCAUCCAUCCGUCCAUCCAUCCAUCCACCCAUUCAUCCAUCCAUUCCUUCAUCAACUCAUCCCUUCAUCCAUCGUCUACCAUUCAUUCACCCCUUCAUCCAUCCAUUCAUUUAUCCAUCCGUCCAUUUACUUCCAUCCAUCCCUUUAUCCAUCCAUUCACCCAUUCAUCCCUUUAUCCAUAUGUCCAUUCCUCCAUCCAUCCAUCCAUCCAUUUACUCUUCAUCCCUUCAUCCAUUUUUCCAUCCAUUCAUCCAUUCAUCUUUUCAUCCAUCCAUCCAUUGAUCUAUCCAUCCAUCCAUUGCUCCAUCCAACCAUCCAUCCAUCCCUUCGUCCCUUCAUCCAUCCAUCCAUUCAUCCCAUCAUCCAUUGAUCACUUCAUCCAUCCAUCCUUCCAUCCUUCCAUCCAUUCUUCCAUUCAUCCAUCCAUGUGUUCAGCAAGUAUUUACUGAAUGCCUAUUAUGUGCCAAGCACUCUCCUCAGAACUUAGGAAAUACCAGGAAACAAAAUCAACAACAAUCCCUCACCACCUGGAUAUUACAUUUUGGUGGGAAGAGACAAAGAAAUAAAAUUGGUGAGUGAAUCACAUAGGUUAUUAGAAGGUGAUAAAGGUGUAGGUGAUAAAGGAGAAGUGCCAGGAGCAAGGAUUGGGUACAGUUGUGAAUAAGGUGGCCCCAAUAGGUUGCACUGAGAAGGUGACAUUUGCACAGAGACUUGAAGAAAGGAAGGAGAGAACAUGACUGUACCUGGGUAACAGCAUUUGUGGAAGAGGGAACAGCCAGUGUAAAAGUUCCAAGGCAUGAGUGCCUGGUACAUACAUGGAACAUCGAGGCCAGGGUGGCAGAAACGCGGUGAGUCCAGGAAGGGAAUAGGAACUAAGUGUAGGAAGGUGUACAGUGGGGUGGUGUGGGGGUGGAAUUGUGGCAGCCAGAUGGUGUUGGCCUAAGGCCUCUUGGCCCUUGUUAGGACUUGGUUUACCAUGGCGCAACACAUCCAUGAGAUUGGCAAAAAUUAAAAAGUCUGACAACAGAAAAUCUGGUAAUCUGGUGAGGAUGUGGAGCAGUGGGAAUUCUCCAAUACUGCCAGGGAGCAUGGGCAUCAAUCCCACCACACUGGAAUGCAAAGGGGCAUUCUGAGUAGAACUGAAGAUGUGCCCAUCCUUGACCCCACAGUUCCAGCCAUGGGCAUGCGCAUGAAUGUGCACACGUGUUGACUGCGGCAUUUGUUUGUCAUUAUGAAAACAUCUAAGUUUCCAUCUAUGGGAGAGGGGAUAAUGUGGGAGUGCCCAACAGUGGAGUUCUAGAGAGCAGUAAAAAUAAAUGGACUAGAGCUGCACACGUCAAAAUGGAUGAAGAUAAAAGACAUAAGGAUGGAAGAAGACCACCUGGCCACAGAAGUAUAUGUCCAAUAU
ensembl:lncRNA ID2-AS1 ID2 antisense RNA 1